rnacentral:rRNA from 1 species
UGGGGAAUUUUGGACAAUGGGCGAAAGCCUGAUCCAGCAAUGCCGCGUGUGUGAAGAAGGCCUUCGGGUUGUAAAGCACUUUUGUCCGGAAAGAAAUCCUUGGCUCUAAUACAGUCGGGGGAUGACGGUACCGGAAGAAUAAGCACCGGCUAACUACGUGCCAGCAGCCGCGGUAAUACGUAGGGUGCAAGCGUUAAUCGGAAUUACUGGGCGUAAAGCGUGCGCAGGCGGUUUGCUAAGACCGAUGUGAAAUCCCCGGGCUCAACCUGGGAACUGCAUUGGUGACUGGCAGGCUAGAGUAUGGCAGAGGGGGGUAGAAUUCCACGUGUAGCAGUGAAAUGCGUAGAGAUGUGGAGGAAUACCGAUGGCGAAGGCAGCCCCCUGGGCCAAAUACUGACGCUCAUGCACGAAAGCGUGGGGAGCAAACAGGAUUAGAUACCCUGGUAGUCCACGCCCUAAAACGAUGUCAACUAGUUGUUGGGGGAUUCAUUUCCUUAGUAACGUAGCUAACGCGUGAAGUUGACCGCCUGGGGAGUACGGUCGCAAGAUUAAAACUUAAAUGAAUUGACGGGGUCAUAGCUGUUUCC